rnacentral:miRNA from 1 species
GAGGUUUAUUUUGGCUCACUGUUUGAAAGGAUUCAGUCCAUGCAUCAUUCAUCUGCUCCAAGGCAGGAGCAGCAAAGUGGAAGUGU